AGCAGCCGCGGUAAUACGGAAGGUCCAAGCGUUAAUCGGAAUUACUGGGCGUAAAGCGCGCGUAGGUGGUUUAUUAAGUUGGGUGUGAAAGCCCCAGGCUCAACCUGGGAACUGCAUCCAAAACUGAUUCACUAGAGUACGAAAGAGGGAGGUAGAAUUCACAGUGUAGCGGUGGAAUGCGUAGAUAUUGUGAAGAAUACCAAUGGCGAAGGCAGCCUCCUGGUUCUGUACUGACACUGAGGUGCGAAAGCGUGGGUAGCGAACAGGAUUAGAUACCCUGGUAGUCCACGCCGUAAACGAUGACAACCAGCUGUUGGGAAGCAAUGCUUUUCAGUGGCGCAGCUAACGUCUUAAGUUGUCCGCCUGGGGAGUACGGCCGCAAGGUUAAAACUCAAAUGAAUUGACGGGGACCCGCACAAGCGGUGGAGCAUGUGGUUUAAUUCGAUGCAACGCGAAAAACCUUACCUACUCUUGACAUCCUUGGAAUCUCUUGUAAUGAGAGAGUGCCUUUUGGAACCAAGUGACAGGUGCUGCAUGGCUGUCGUCAGCUCGUGUCGUGAGAUGUUCCGUUAAGUCGGAUAACGAGCGCAACCCUUACCCUUAUUUGCCAGCGGUUCGGCCGGGAACUAUAAGGGGACUGCCGGUGAUAAACCGGAGGAAGGUGAGGACGACGUCAAGUCAUCAUGGCCCUUACGAGUAGGGCUACACACGUGCUACAAUGGGAAGUACAGAGGGACGCCAAAGCGCGAGCUGGAGCUAAUCUCAUAAAACUUUUCGUAGUCCGGAUUGCAGUCUGCAACUCGACUGCAUGAAGUCGGAAUCGCUAGUAAUCGCGGAUCAGCACGCCGCGGUGAAUACGUUCUCGGGUCUUGUACACACCGCCCGUCACACCAUGGGAGUGUAUUGCACCAGAAGUAGGUAGUCUAACCUUCGGGAGGGCGCUUACCACGGUGUGAUCCAUGACUGGGGUGAAGUCGUAACAAGGUAGCCG
rnacentral:rRNA from 1 species